UCGGUUGAGAGUCAAAAGAUGUUCUUUGAGAUAUUAUGCUUGUUUUGCAUUAUUUUGCAGCGUUUUUGAUGAAAAUGAAGAAUGGGAUUGAAGAUGGAAGGUCUUCGACUCAAGAAAGAAGAAGAAACAUGAAGAAAACAAGAGUCUAGGAACUGCCCAGCGCCAAAAUCCAACGCUGACGGCCAAAUGCAAGGAGAAGCCACUAUUUGGCGCCCAGGCAGGGAAGCCGGGCAGUUUUGCGAUUAGAGGCAAAUCGUCGGACGGUACAACUCACCGUCGGGCGGUGGCACGAUUAUGGGGAAACCGCUGGGUGCCAAAGUGCGACACCGGGCGGUUGUCUGAUGGGCUUGGGCCUAAAUUCUGUGAAGCUCCUCAGCUAUAAAUAGCCCUAGUGCGACUUCAGAUGGAUUCUUUUAACAGAAAGGGGCG
rnacentral:lncRNA from 1 species